rnacentral:rRNA from 1 species
ACUAAAUAGAUACCCCGGUAGUCCACGCCGUAAACGAUGCUCACUGGCUGUAUGCGAUACACCGUAUGCGGCCAAAGCGAAAGCGCUAAGUGAGCCACCUGGGGAGUACGCCGGCAACGGUGAAACUCAAAGGAAUUGACGGGGGCCCGCACAAGCGGAGGAACAUGUGGUUUAAUUCGAUGAUACGCGAGGAACCUUACCUGGGCUUAAAUGGGGACUGACGCAUUCAGAAAUGGAUGUUUCUUCGGACAGUCUUCAAGGUGCUGCAUGGUUGUCGUCAGCUCGUGCCGUGAGGUGUCGGGUUAAGUCCCAUAACGAGCGCAACCCUUACCGUUAGUUACCAUCAGGUCAAGCUGGGGACUCUAGCGGGACUGCCACCGUAAGGUGAGAGGAAGGUGGGGAUGACGUCAAAUCAGCACGGCCCUUAUGUCCAGGGCUACACACGUGUUACAAUGGCCGGUACAGAGGGCAGCUACCCCGCGAGGGGAUGCUAAUCUUAUAAAGCCGGUCUCAGUUCGGAUCGAAGUCUGCAACCCGACUU